GGGGGGGGGUGGGAGCGACUCAGCGAAGGAGGUGGGAGCCCACCUCAGCCUACGAUUGGAAAGAAAGCAAGUUGUUUCGGGUGGAACGAGGUCUCUUACAGGAGGCAAGACAGUCUUAUUAUUUUAAAAAAAAAUUCUUUUCAAGGAGGAGCUCUCGGCAAAUGAAUAUCGAGGCACCUCCCUAGCUGGUUACGUUUGGGACGCGAUAACUCGGGGCCGCUUCCAGACCUGCGUAGAAGUAAUUACUGGGUUAUCACGGAGGGGAAAAGAGACCGACGUUAGCACGUUAGGACGAAGAGAGUCGUCCGCAAUCUUUCUUGCUGAGAAAAAGUCCAUUCGCAAGCUAGGUCCGGGGAUGCAACUGGUCCCCGCGUGGCCCGGCGGGGGCGGGGUGCGAGUGGGUGGUGGGGUGGGUGGAGAGGAGCGAUUUCUGCGGAGAAAAAUUAAAGCGCUAGGGCCUGCAGAGGGACGAGGUGCUCUGUUUUGUUUUGUAAUAAGGGUUAUUGUUUUUUGGUCUCGUCAAUGGGCAUGAUUGCUAAGCAGCCCCGGGGCUUGCGCGCGCGAGCUUCCGCGUGCAGCUGGAAAUGCGCUAGGUUCAGUAGCGAAACGUACUGCGUAGACGCCCCAGGCGGCGCCGAGAGAAGAGCCAGGCCCGCCUAGCACGGAGCGAGCGAGCGCCGGGCCUUCUGGAAGGGUAAGUUCCCCGCCAAGGCGUCCCCGAGGGAGCCAGACGUCGGAAUCCGGACUCGUCCCCAGCUUCGGGGUUCGAUCCCGGGUUUCACGCGCCCCCAGCCCCCAGGGCUUUCCGCAGCAUGGCCUGGCUCCAGGCCCGGUCCGUCUGGGGCUGAAGCGGCAGCGAAAAGUGUAGGAACGCAGCCGACCGAGCGGCCCCAGGAGCUGAGGUCAGGCCCGCGGGGAGAGCGGGCAGUGGUUUCCAGCGCCGGACGCGGACGCCAGGGUCCCCCGGGCCGCAGACUCUGCAGCUUCGAGCAAGCAGAGCCCGCGUCCCUCCUCUUGGCCAGGCCACAGGGGCGUCCCCAAGCUUGGCUUUCGUUUCCCAAGGCCCCGCAACCCCCCUGGUCUGGCUCACAAAGGAUUCCGCAAACUCAGCUUCCCGGACCCACUUUCCCAGGCGCUCCGGAGGGCGCGCUGCGACUAGAAGAAAACAACGACCUAGUUCGGCAGAUGAGAUUUUUUUUCCCCCUUGGUUGGGGUAGUGAAAUGAGAAAUAGAAGUGGAAACAUCCUUCUAGAAGCCCAGCUGAGACAUCAGUGCUGGAGAUUUGCGGGCUCCACAGGAACAGAGAAGGCGCCCGGGCCGUGAGCACCACAGCGGGUCUCCUCUGGCCUCCUGCUGCUGGGUUUCUGGCCUUUGGGGACGCGGCCUCGAUAGAAGGGUCCGGAAGCGGGGACCACAGAUGCCUUGCCCCCCAUCACAAUCCCUCCCGGAAAACACUGGGCUGAAACUGACAGAGGCUCGCCCUGGGGUGCAACGGACCGAGGUCCCCGGUGGAGAAGUUCCUGGCGAUUGUUUCCGCAAGGGCCCUUCGGUUUCCUGGUCUCCAUGGCAACCCCGGAGUCCCGUCGAACGCUCUCAACAAUGGGGCGCCCCGAGGACAAUCGCGCACUUGCUCUGCGAGCUCUGUGUCCUGCAGGGCGCUUCCGCCCGUCGCUCUUGGCUUUCCGGAGCCACUUAGGUAGAUUCAACACGAAAGGGAUUGAAAAACUACCCCCCCCCUUUUUUUUUAAACGGAGGAGAAAAAUCGAGAUUUAGUAGAAUCUCUGCUGGCUAGGGUCGUGUCCUGAGCAAAAGCCCCAACUUGGAGUUCAGAGCGAUGACCUCGGAGACGCGAGCGCGGGCGGCGGGCAGGAUGGUUUCAUCGAAGCCCGCACCUCGAGCAUCUCCACCGGGAACCUGGGACUCUAGGAGUCUCGGAAUCUCUCCACAUCUGCUGCCCGUCUCAUCCGCACCCGACGCUCCCCGCAUCCAACCAAGCGACCCCUUCGCUUGCCUGGAAUAACUUCUCCUAAAUGGAAGGAGAGAAGUCGGGAACUAGAAAUAGUGGCAUUAAGGUCUGCAAGGUCUUUAUGAGGGAAAGAAUACAUUAUACGUUUCCUUUUAGAGAAAACAUUUUCCAUUGUGGAUGUAAUAUAAAUAACAUUAAAAUAAUAUUUGGGGG
rnacentral:lncRNA from 1 species